GCCGAGCUUUGUAACAUGAGCUUGUAACUCAAGUGAGGGCAUUAAUGUGGUGGAAUGUUGGGCUGAUCCAGAAGGCUGGACUUUGUGGGCUAUUCUCUGGCCUGCCCUAUCCAAGCAUAGAGUUGGGCUAUGUAGCCAAGCGAAGGCAUAGGCUGCUUGGCUCCUAGAGUGGGGUGGAUCGCGUGAGGCUGGUUUCACAGAGCAACGAACAGCUCCCGUUCUAUCCAGUGGAAGGAUCACGGGUCAGUGUUCAUGAAGUCCAACUAAAACCUAAUGGGCUGCUUCAACUAAACCACCAUUU
rnacentral:SRP_RNA from 1 species